UAGCAUAUAACUUAGUGCUGCUGAUGGUGU
rnacentral:piRNA from 1 species